UACGAAGGGGGCUAGCGUUGUUCGGAAUUACUGGGCGUAAAGCGCACGUAGGCGGAUUUGUAAGUCAGGGGUGAAAUCCCGGGGCUCAACCUCGGAACUGCCUUUGAUACUGCAAGUCUUGAGUCCGAUAGAGGUGAGUGGAAUUCCUAGUGUAGAGGUGAAAUUCGUAGAUAUUAGGAAGAACACCAGUGGCGAAGGCGGCUCACUGGAUCGGUACUGACGCUGAGGUGCGAAAGCGUGGGGAGCAAACGGG
rnacentral:rRNA from 1 species